GACUUCGAACAGGCCGAGUGGUACUACGACGGUCUCGAGCAGCUUGCCGCGCAUAUGCUGAACCCGGAGGCGAAGAUUGCGGCGCUCGAGCGGCGCGGACUGAGUCAGGAACAGCUGGGCGCCUACGACGCCGCGAUCGAGAGCUGGACGGCGGCGGCGACCCUCAGCCGCAACAUCGGCCUGCCGGCGCUGCUGAAGACGAACCUCGAGCACCUGCAGCGG
rnacentral:misc_RNA from 1 species